UUGGAAGCACUUUGUUCGUGCUCCAUUGAGGCUGAAUCUGAAAGCCAUUUUUUAAAUAUUCUAAUACUGCCAUUGGAGGUAGGGAGGAACAAAAAACAGGAAGGGAAGAUUUUGUUUAGAAAGCUUUCAUCUAUGGUGCUUACGACCUAAAUUUUGCCCUGUGCUGGAAUAUUCCAUUGUCCUUAUUACUCAAGCAGCUAUUUCCACAGCCAUAGGCUUGCGACAGCACCUGGCAGCAGCUUCAUGGAGCGAU
ensembl:lncRNA